AAAGGGGUGAACAACACUUAAGGUGUACGUGAUAGGGUUGAUAAACAGGGACCAAGAGGGUAGUAUUAGUAAAAACCUUUUAUCAGGGGUAGACUGAGUAAUGGGGUAAUAAAGUGACAUUAAAUUAUAUUAACAUCCAAGGUGUGUGUAGGAAAAUAAAUCUGACUGGACCAAUAUGGAACCAAGCAUUGUAGAAGGUAUAUGUGGUAAUAAACAUCAUAAGGAAAAAUUAAUACAUAAAUGAAUAGGAAAUUAUGAUGACCCCAUACCCGACCCUCGGCCCUCUAUGCACACUAUCGGACAUGUUGUGGUUUUGCAGAUUAUUACUUACCCUUCCGCUCCUGAUGAGUGGCGUUAGCCACGAAACGCGUAGAGCUACCAGAUAUCGAUUCUACCUAGAAUACCAUUUCUACAUAUACUAAGCAUACUGGAAUAUACCAAUGAACUACAAGUUUACAAAAAUACCCCCCUUUUUUACCUGGAGACCCAUGCCGAUUGACCUGGUUCGAAUACUGUCUGCAAUACGAAUCCAUAUGUUACGAUGCUACGCUUUUAUUACUAUGUUAUCAAGUUGUUUGAAAUUUAUCAUAUAUUUGAUUACUGGCUACGCAUCUGAUUACUAUGUAACUUAUGUGGCCCAAUGUAACCAUGUAUGACCUACCAGAUAUCACCUGUCAUGUUUUUUCUCCCUGAGCUUAUUAUUUUUUGCUCACCUAAUAUUAUUGUACCAUCUUACUAUUAUUGGGACCAUUGGUGUUUACCAAUGAAUCCCAAUUUUAUAAAGUUUUUUCUAAAAUGGAGUGACACGUCAGUUAGUCUGGAUAUUAAUAAUACUUUUACCUACAUUAUGAACCUUUAUGUUGCCAAGCCAUAUCAAUUAUAUGCUAUUAUUAUACCUAUAAUGUACUAUAUUUUACUGUAAUUAUUGUGCUGACAUGCUAUCUGUGUUGUUCUUGGUGUCAAUGAGCCCACAUGGUACCAUGUUACGUCAUUAUUAUGCUAUUCACUUAUGUGCAAUAAAUUGUAUUAUUGAUUUUUUA